rnacentral:piRNA from 1 species
UAAAAUAGUUAUCAUUUUAUGGUGCAGAAGU